UACAGAGGGUGCGAGCGUUAAUCGGAAUUACUGGGCGUAAAGGGCUCGUAGGCGGCCAACUAAGUCAGACGUGAAAUCCCUCGGCUUAACCGGGGAACUGCAUCUGAUACUGGAUGGCUUGAGUUUGGGAGAGGGAUGCGGAAUUCCAGGUGUAGCGGUGAAAUGCGUAGAUAUCUGGAGGAACACCGGUGGCGAAGGCGGCAUCCUGGACCAACACUGACGCUGAGGAGCGAAAGCCAGGGGAGCAAACGGG
rnacentral:rRNA from 1 species